GAUGAACGCUAGCGGCAGGCUUAACACAUGCAAGUCGAAGGGUAUAGUUCCUCGGAACUAGAGAACGGCGCACGGGUGCGUAACGCGUAUGUAAUCUACCUUUUACAGGGGGUUAGCCCAUAGAAAUAUGGAUUAAUACCCCAUAUUAUGCUGUGGUUGCUUCUCUUCAACAUUUAAGUUCCAACGGUAAAAGAUGAACAUGCGUACCAUUAGCUAAAUGGUAAGGUAACGGCUUACCAUGGCUACGAUGGGUAGGGGUCCUGAGAGGGAGAUCCCCGACACUGGUAGUGAGACACGGACCAGACUCAUACGGGAGGCAGCAGGGAGGAAUAUUGGACAGAGGGCGGAAGCCUGGACCAGCCAUGCCGCGUGCAGGAUGACGGUCCUAUGGGUUGUAAGCUGCUUUUGUAAAGGAAGAAACACACCCUCGUGUGGGGACUUGACGGUACUGUAAGAAUAAGGAUCGGCUAACUCCGUGCCAGCCGCCGCAGUAA
rnacentral:rRNA from 1 species